UACGGAAUGCUUUACACAUGCAAGUCGAACGGCAGGCCAAGAGAGCUUGCUCUCUGAUGGCGAGUGGCGAACGGGUGAGUAAUAUAUCGGAACGUGCCUAGUAAUGGGGAAUAACUAGCUGAAAAGUUAGCUAAUGCCGCAUACGACCUACGGGUGAAAGCAGGGGAUCUUCGGACCUUGCGUUAUUAGAGCGGCCGAUAUCUGAUUAGCUUGUUGGUGGGGUAAUGGCCUACCAAGGCGACGAUCAGUAGCUGGUCUGAGAGGACGAUCAGCCACACUGGAACUGAGACACGGUCCAGACUCCUACGGGAGGCAGCAGUGGGGAAUUUUGGACAAUGGGGGCAACCCUGAUCCAGCCAUUCCGCGUGAGUGAAGAAGGCCUUCGGGUUGUAAAGCUCUUUCGCAAGAGAAGAAAACUUGCUAUCUAAUAAAUAGUAAGCAUGACGGUAUCUUGACAAGAAGCACCGGCUAACUACGUGCCAGCAGCCGCGGUAAUACGUAGGGUGCAAGCGUUAAUCGGAAUUACUGGGCGUAAAGCGUGCGCAGGCAGUUUUAUAAGUCAGAUGUGAAAUCCCCGAGCUCAACUUGGGAACUGCGUUUGAAACUGUAAGACUAGAGUGUGUCAGAGGGGGGUAGAAUUCCAAGUGUAGCAGUGAAAUGCGUAGAGAUUUGGAGGGAAUACCAAUGGCGAAAGGCAGCCCCCCUGGGAUAACACUGA
rnacentral:rRNA from 1 species